rnacentral:rRNA from 1 species
AACGGGUGCGUAACACGUGAGCAACCUACCGAUUUGUGGGGGAUAGCCGGCCCAACGGCCGGGUAAUACCGCAUACGCUCUUUGGGCUUCAUGGCCUAUUGAGGAAACCUCCGGGGCAAAUCGAGGGGCUCGCGGCCUAUCAGCUAGUUGGCGAGGUCACGGCUCACCAAGGCGACGACGGGUAGCUGGUCUGAGAGGAUGGCCAGCCACAUUGGGACUGAGAAACGGCCCAG